rnacentral:lncRNA from 1 species
ACAAGGAGGUCAGCCAACAGGACUUGGAGGUCAGUUAGAUGCCAGUGCUGGGGCGUGGAGGGGUCAGGGUGGACUGCGGCGUCCAGCCAGGGUCCAGCAGGAAGCCUGCGAUGUGGAGGAACUGAGUCCUGAGUCAGCUAAGUACACAAUCCAAACAGGCCAGGAGCUCCCGCCAGCCCUCUGGGUCAGCCCAGUGCCCAGAGCCGAGAGGCAAGGUCCUGUCCCAGCCUUCCAGACUUCCUCCUGGAAAGACACAAGAAGCCGGAACCACAAGCUUGGCAUGCCCCCACCCAGACUUUUCCUCUCUCUGCCACAUUCCAGUGGCCCCAGGACCUGCCGGGGCCCUCCACUCCAUCUUCAGUUCCCUGGCUUUAAACCCAGUCCGCCUUCAAUCUCCAGGAUCAGGGGAGGGGCGACCCCCUACCAUUGACCACCCACUGCCCUCAAGGCAUCAACUGCCUAGGAGAUCAAGGACCGCAUGGUAACUGCCAUCUUGCCAUCAGACCCUCUCUCCUGGCACUCAGCCUUCCUCCAUCUAAUCCUGGCUCUCCCUGCAUUAAAAAGCCCCCACUGCGUUCCCUCCCCUGCACCAUUCAGUGCCCGGCCCUCCCUCUGUCUCCCUCCUCUGCCUCCCACCCCACCGAUCUGUGCCCUUUUCUUCUCCACAGCAGCCACCAGGCAGUGAGCGCGCCUCCAGCCUGGCCACUGGCCUGCGUCCCUGUAGCCCGGCCGGCCCGUGGCUCGGGCCCACCUGGCGCCCCAGCCGCCGGGCUGGCGCCGCCCGGUUGUCUAGACCGGUCCAGGCCGCCCCGCCCCCGCGCUCCUCCGCCGCGGCCACAGCUCGCGCGCGCGCGGCCCACAUUCGCUUCCCUUCGGCGCCCCCCCGGCCCCGGCGCUGCCUGGAGGCGGCUGCACUCGGGUGAGUCCCCGUCGCCUCAUCCCCGCUCGCCCCCCCAACCCCGGCCCCGGCUGCCAUCUCGAGCGGGGCUUUUAUUUUGAGACUCGCCCCCUCCCUCCGUGGGGGGUGCUGCACGGACAGCGCGGGGAUCUGGG